GUAAGGAAUAUUGGUCAAUGGAGGGAACUCUGAACCAGCCAUCCCGCGUGAAGGAUGAAGGGGCUCUGCCUUGUAAACUUCUUUUGCAUGGGACGAAAAAACUUAAUUUAUUAAGGACUGACGGUACCAUGAGAAUAAGCACCGGCUAACUCCGUGCCAGCAGCCGCGGUAAUACGGAGGGUGCGAGCGUUAUCCGGAAUCACUGGGUUUAAAGGGUGCGUAGGCGGUUUGAUAAGUCAGUGGUGAAAGGCCGUCGCUUAACGAUGGGACUGCCAUUGAUACUGUUAGACUUGAAUCAGGAUGAGGUUGGCGGAAUGUGGCAUGUAGCGGUGAAAUGCUUAGAUAUGCCAUGGAAUACCGAUUGCGAAGGCAGCUGACUGGACCUGAAUUGACGCUGAGGCACGAAAGCGUGGGGAGCGAACAGGAUUAGAAACCCGAGUAGUCC
rnacentral:rRNA from 1 species